UAUACAGAGGGGAAGCACAGUUUGCAAAGAACCUGUAGGGAGCUAUUCUGUAAUCACAAGGUAGGAUUAGAGCAUGCAGAGUCAAGGAGGAAGCCCAUGAAUCCUUUCCUCGGUAGAAAAGUGUCUGGUAAGAGGGGAUGAGAGAUGGGGAGCAGCCAGUGUGAAGCUGUAGGCUCCACUGGUGAGCCCUGAUAAUAAGGCAAGACUGGGCUUCCAGAGAGGCAUUCAAUUAAGAGGGGAAAAACUUCAAGUCCCAGGAAGGGAGAAGGUGGUUUUAAAAGGAGGGGGCUAAAGCGUGAUCAGGCUGGAGGGCUGAGCUGUGAGAAGAGACCACUGCAGGACAAGAGUGCAUUUUGGCAGAAGUGCUUGAGAGGAAGCAGCCUGCUACUCCAGUGUGAAUCUGUGCAGAGUCUUAGAAACCUUGGUGAACUGAGAUGUACUACAAUUGCAGUGUUGCCAACUUUUGCAACUUUAUUGCAAGUCUGGUGAUAUUUGAUGUUUUUUUCUUAAUGUCCCAGCUCACCAAGUCAUGUUUGGUGAAAAUAUCAGCUUUCAUCUUACGUAAAAGACUCCUCCCUCCUUCACUGCAUAAUAGGGCCUGCUCUGGGGAUGGAGCGAACUGUUGUCUAUAGACCCUGCUUCAUUUGCUACUGGGAUUAUAUUACAACUGGCUCCACAAUACGGAUGGAAUCAAAUCGGUCAUUGAUACAAGAACAUAGUUGCAAAUAAGGCUGUUGAAUAGCCAGCAGCCUUCUUCUGCAGUGCAUGUGGAAUGAGAAUCUUUGGAUCUGCUGACAUCACACUGCAGAACCUCCUCUUCAUUGGAAGUCUCUAUGUUCAAUUACUGUAUUAACUGCUUUAGUCUUCCUGGGAUGCCUGCGGCACUGGGACAUUAGGUGGUUCUGUUUUCCACACGCCUUGCGCCACUGCCUAUGUGCUGGGUAUUUUUCUUUCUGCUUUUUGUGUUGCAUUCCACAGUAUAUACAUUGGACCACGUUGCCUACAUUCUCAGUCAUUCUGUCUCUGUCCUGCUUCCUGGGUUUCUUGAUCUUGCACCUGCCUGUGUGCUUGUGCUUUACUAGUACUUUUUAUUGUUUGAUCCUUUCCCUGGACAGUUCAGGUGCCGUUGGUAUUUGGAGGCAUUUCUAUAGGGUUAGGCCUGUUUAUCUCAAUAAUCUCUCCUGAAACCUGAAAUCACGUGUUCCAUAAAUAAUCCUAAUUUAAUUUUUAAUGUCCCCAAAGUUACACAUGGAUGCCAGAGUUCUCAGCUUUGUAACAUAGGUAUCUGCACCAUCUUCAGCUUCUGGGAUUUGGGUCUCUAUAGUCUCAUUCUGUCUAAGUCACAGUGUUCAUUAAACACUCAUAUAGUUGUUUCAGUGUAUUCUCAGCAACAGUAUCUCACUCACUUCUCAUCUUCUGCCCCCUUCCCCCCAAAUGAGAUAGAAAAUAAGGGAAAGCUUUUUUACUUAUCCUUUAUCUCUCAUGGGCAGGUCUGUGAACAGAGUCAAUUCUUGUUUCCACUAUUCCAUGCUUGUGCAAGGUUUUUUGACUGGAAAUGCAGCAUUCCCAGUUUCCUCCAUGGUGCCUGUUGCUCUGUUUUUAGUUGCUGCUUUGUUUGCUUGUUGAUCACACUCUCUUUUUUGCUGUGGGUCUCACUAGCCUGAUCACUGGCACCGUAUUUCAUGUUCAUAGUUUGCAUAUUGUGUAAUAAUAUAAGAGAACUCCAUGCUUGUAAAACUAAACUGUUUCUUUGUUAAGAGAACUAUUUACAGAGAUGCAGAAACUGCUGCUAGCAUUCAAGCCCUAUGCACACAGAUUGACUUUCAUGCUAGUCAGUCUCUGAUUUUGCCCUAUUUAAUUAAUUUGUUGUUGUAAUUUAGUAAUACAGAAAGCCCCAUAAAAUGCUAAGUGUUACUGUUUUGCCUUCAGAAAGGAAAUAUAACGAAUUAUUUAGAGGUAGCUUACAGUGUCUCAAAUUGAACCAAAUUUAAGGAGAAGUUGUCACCAUUCCAUGUUCAAAUCUACUUAAAAUGAAGCAAAAUGAGAAAGCCACAAGUUUAGUCUAUAUGAGACUGUUAGUAUUCACAAGAUUUUAUAAAGAUGAUCCUGAGAAAAAAUUUGAAAGCAUACUUAGCUUUUCUGUGAGUGAACUUGUGGAUUUUUCUGCAUUUGCUUGGACAAGGAGUUUAGCUGGUUUUUGGGUGGGUGUGUGGGGCGGAGGAGUGGAGGUGUCAUUGAAAUGGAUAUUUUUCCACAGGGAAGCUGUCUUUCAUUUUUGCAGAAUUUAAGACAAAAAUAUGAGGCAAACCCAAUAAACAGUUCUUUGAUUUCGUUGGAGGUGAGAAUUUUUUGAGAGCCCUUAUGCAAAGAUGUUCUGGGGUGUGCUCCCCACAAGCAGUGUCAGUGUGAGCUGGAGGACAUAUGCUACAGCACAGAAAAUGGCUGGAGCAAGGCCAGCCUUAUAACAAUCAAGAAUACAGGUCCAGGCUGCUAGAAGGAAGAACGAGGUCAUUAGUAUUUUUUACUUCAGCAUUCCCCUUGGAGUGCAGAAAUGGGUAGCCCAUGACAAGUGUUCUCCUCUCU